rnacentral:rRNA from 1 species
CCCCGUACACAAAAAUGCACAUACUGUGAGCUCGAUGAGUAGGGCGGGACACGUGGUAUCCUGUCUGAAUAUGGGGGGACCAUCCUCCAAGGCUAAAUACUCCUGACUGACCGAUAGUGAACCAGUACCGUGAGGGAAAGGCGAAAAGAACCCCGGCGAGGGGAGUGAAAAAGAACCUGAAACCGUGUACGUACAAGCAGUGGGAGCACGCUUAGGCGUGUGACUGCGUACCUUUUGUAUAAUGGGUCAGCGACUUAUAUUCUGUAGCAAGGUUAACCGAAUAGGGGAGCCGAAGGGAAACCGAGUCUUAACUGGGCGUUAAGUUGCAGGGUAUAGACCCGAAACCCGGUGAUCUAGCCAUGGGCAGGUUGAAGGUUGGGUAACACUAACUGGAGGACCGAACCGACUAAUGUUGAAAAAUUAGCGGAUGACUUGUGGCUGGGGGUGAAAGGCCAAUCAAACCGGGAGAUAGCUGGUUCUCCCCGAAAGCUAUUUAGGUAGCGCCUCGUGAAUUCAUCUCCGGGGGUAGAGCACUGUUUCGGCAAGGGGGUCAUCCCGACUUACCAACCCGAUGCAAACUGCGAAUACCGGAGAAUGUUAUCACGGGAGACACACGGCGGGUGCUAACGUCCGUCGUGAAGAGGGAAACAACCCAGACCGCCAGCUAAGGUCCCAAAGUCAUGGUUAAGUGGGAAACGAUGUGGGAAGGCCCAGACAGCCAGGAUGUUGGCUUAGAAGCAGCCAUCAUUUAAAGAAAGCGUAAUAGCUCACUGGUCGAGUCGGCCUGCGCGGAAGAUGUAACGGGGCUAAACCAUGCACCGAAGCUGCGGCAGCGACACUAUGUGUUGUUGGGUAGGGGAGCGUUCUGUAAGCCUGUGAAGGUGUACUGUGAGGUAUGCUGGAGGUAUCAGAAGUGCGAAUGCUGACAUAAGUAACGAUAAAGCGGGUGAAAAGCCCGCUCGCCGGAAGACCAAGGGUUCCUGUCCAACGUUAAUCGGGGCAGGGUGAGUCGACCCCUAAGGCGAGGCCGAAAGGCGUAGUCGAUGGGAAACAGGUUAAUAUUCCUGUACUUGGUGUUACUGCGAAGGGGGGACGGAGAAGGCUAUGUUGGCCGGGCGACGGUUGUCCCGGUUUAAGCGUGUAGGCUGGUUUUCCAGGCAAAUCCGGAAAAUCAAGGCUGAGGCGUGAUGACGAGGCACUACGGUGCUGAAGCAACAAAUGCCCUGCUUCCAGGAAAAGCCUCUAAGCAUCAGGUAACAUCAAAUCGUACCCCAAACCGACACAGGUGGUCAGGUAGAGAAUACCAAGGCGCUUGAGAGAACUCGGGUGAAGGAACUAGGCAAAAUGGUGCCGUAACUUCGGGAGAAGGCACGCUGAUAUGUAGGUGAAGUCCCUCGCGGAUGGAGCUGAAAUCAGUCGAAGAUACCAGCUGGCUGCAACUGUUUAUUAAAAACACAGCACUGUGCAAACACGAAAGUGGACGUAUACGGUGUGACGCCUGCCCGGUGC